rnacentral:rRNA from 1 species
AACGAACGCUGGCGGCAGGCCUAACACAUGCAAGUCGAGCGGAGAGAGGUAGCUUGCUACCGAUCUUAGCGGCGGACGGGUGAGUAAUGCUUAGGAAUCUGCCUAUUAGUGGGGGACAACAUUUCGAAAGGAAUGCUAAUACCGCAUACGUCCUACGGGAGAAAGCAGGGGAUCUUCGGACCUUGCGCUAAUAGAUGAGCCUAAGUCGGAUUAGCUAGUUGGUGGGGUAAAGGCCUACCAAGGCGACGAUCUGUAGCGGGUCUGAGAGGAUGAUCCGCCACACUGGGACUGAGACACGGCCCAGACUCCUACGGGAGGCAGCAGUGGGGAAUAUUGGACAAUGGGCGCAAGCCUGAUCCAGCCAUGCCGCGUGUGUGAAGAAGGCCUUAUGGUUGUAAAGCACUUUAAGCGAGGAGGAGGCUACUUUAGUUAAUACCUAGAGAUAGUGGACGUUACUCGCAGAAUAAGCACCGGCUAACUCUGUGCCAGCCGCCGCGGUAACAC